rnacentral:lncRNA from 1 species
AUGUAGAAUAAGUAGUUAUUUUCAGAAUGUAGAUACCUAGUGUAUAGUGUAAAUAAGGAUAGAUAACUGUUGAAAAGGUGGUUCAGCAAGUAGAAUGGAUGAAUAGUCAGGAAAAGUAGUUAUCAUCUGUAGUAUAGGAGUUGGUAUCUUGGGGUAGUAUAAGGAGGAUGGAAGAGGGGAAGAAAAUACCAAGCUACGAUAGUACUGAGCCGGAGAUAAGCUUGGUGCUAUUUCUUCUUCUUAAGUUUUCUUGUUUCUUUUGUGUUAGUGUUGAUUCUAGUGAAGAAGAUUGAUUUAAUGAAUCAAUGUUUGAUUUA